rnacentral:rRNA from 1 species
UACGUAGGGGGCAAGCGUUGUCCGGAAUUAUUGGGCGUAAAGCGCGCGCAGGCGGUUAAUUAAGUUGGGUGUUUAAUCCUGGGGCUCAACUCCGGGUCGCAUCCAAAACUGGUUAACUUGAGUGCAGAAGAGGAGAGUGGAAUUCCACGUGUAGCGGUGAAAUGCGUAGAUAUGUGGAGGAACACCAGUGGCGAAGGCGACUCUCUGGGCUGUAACUGACGCUGAGGCGCGAAAGCGUGGGGAGCAAACAGG